rnacentral:rRNA from 1 species
GACGAACGCUGGCGGCGUGCUUAACACAUGCAAGUCGAACGGUGAAGCGCCUUCCUUUUUGGUGGGUGUGGAUGAGUGGCGAACGGGUGAGUAACACGUGAGUAACCUGCCCCCUUCUUCUGGAUAACCGCAUGAAAGUGUGGCUAAUACGGGAUAUUCUGGGUCUGUCGCAUGAUGGGUCUGGGAAAGAUAUUGUUUCGGUGGGGGAUGGGCUCGCGGCCUAUCAGCUUGUUGGUGGGGUGAUGGCCUACCAAGGCGGUGACGGGUAGCCGGCCUGAGAGGGUGGACGGUCACACUGGGACUGAUACACGGCCCAGACUCCUACGGGAGGCAGCAGUGGGGAAUAUUGCACAAUGGGCGCAAGCCUGAUGCAGCGACGCCGCGUGAGGGAUGGAGGCCUUCGGGUUGUGAACCUCUUUCGCCAGUGAAGCAGGCCUGCCUCGUUUGUGGGUGGGUUGACGGUAGCUGGAUAAGAAGCGCCGGCUAACUACGUG